rnacentral:rRNA from 1 species
GCCGCGGUAAUACGAAGGGACCUAGCGUAGUUCGGAAUUACUGGGCUUAAAGAGUUCGUAGGUUGUUAAAAAAGUUGGUGGUGAAAUCCCAGAGCUCAACUCUGGAACUGCCAUCAAAACUUUUUAGCUAGAGUAUGAUAGAGGAAAGCAGAAUUUCUAGUGUAGAGGUGAAAUUCGUAGAUAUUAGAAAGAAUACCAAUUGCGAAGGCAGCUUUCUGGAUCAUUACUGACGCUGAGGAACGAAAGCAUGGGUAGCGAAGAGGAUUAGAUACCCUCGUAGUCCAUGCCGUAAACGAUGUGUGUUAGACGUUGGAAAUUUAUUUUCAGUGUCGCAGCGAAAGCAGUAAACACACCGCCUGGGGAGUACGACCGCAAGGUUAAAACUCAAAUGAAUUGACGGGGACCCGCACAAGUAGUGGAGCAUGUGGUUUAAUUCGAAGAUACGCGCAGAACCUUACCAACACUUGACAUGUUCGUCGCGACUUUAAGAGAUUAAAGUUUUCGGUUCGGCCGGACGAAACACAGGUGCUGCAUGGCUGUCGUCAGCUCGUGUCGUGAGAUGUUGGGUUAAGUCCCGCAACGAGCGCAACCCUCACUUUUAGUUGCCAUCAUUUAGUUGGGCACUCUGAAAGAACUGCCAGUGAUAAGCUGGAGGAAGGUGGGGAUGACGUCAAGUCCUCAUGGCCCUUACGUGUUGGGCUACACACGUGCUACAAUGGCAUUUACAAUAGGAAGCAAGAUGGCGACAUUAAGCAAAUCCUAAAAAAAUGCCUCAGUUCGGAUUGUACUCUGCAACUCGAGUACAUGAAGCUGGAAUUACUAGUAAUCGCGGAUCAGCGCGCCGCGGUGAAUACGUUCCCGGGUCUUGUACACACCGCCCGUCACACCAUGGGAGUUGGUUCUACCUUAAGGCAAAGUUUAAAACCUUUGACCACGGUAUAGUCAGCGACUGGGGUGAAGUCGUAACAAGGUAGCCGUAGGGGAACCUGCGGCUG